AUUGAACGCUGGCGGCAGGCUUAACACAUGCAAGUCGAGCGGGGGAAGGUAGCUUGCUACCGGACCUAGCGGCGGACGGGUGAGUAAUGCUUAGGAAUCUGCCUAUUAGUGGGGGACAACAUCUCGAAAGGGAUGCUAAUACCGCAUACGUCCUACGGGAGAAAGCAGGGGAUCUUCGGACCUUGCGCUAAUAGAUGAGCCUAAGUCGGAUUAGCUAGUUGGUGGGGUAAAGGCCUACCAAGGCGACGAUCUGUAGCGGGUCUGAGAGGAUGAUCCGCCACACUGGGACUGAGACACGGCCCAGACUCCUACGGGAGGCAGCAGUGGGGAAUAUUGGACAAUGGGGGGAACCCUGAUCCAGCCAUGCCGCGUGUGUGAAGAAGGCCUUA
rnacentral:rRNA from 1 species